ACAACAACUGCCCCAACAACCACAACAUCAAAUUAUGAAGUCACAGCAACUUUGAAGUUUGAACCCUUUUUACCCGAUUAUGAAGACCCUACCAGUGAAAAAUAUAAAACUCUGAAAUCCAAAGUAGAAAAGAAUUGUAAAACCAAACUCGACGAAAGCUAUCAAGUUCCAGGUUCUGUAUGCAGUGUAAACAGAUUUAGAUCCUCCGCACAACAGAUCAGAGUCAAUGCCACUGAAGUAGAUGUGACAAUUAAAUUUCCAGCUUCAGUGG